rfam:Dipodomys ordii contig_43779, whole genome shotgun sequence.
GGAAUGUGGCUUAGUGGUAGAGUGCUUGCCUAGCAUGCAUGAAGCCUUGGGUUUGAUUCCUAAAUACCA